AAGUAGUUAACAAAACAAUUUGUGCUUUGUGUUUACUGUAACAUACCUCCCCACCAGCGCCCAAACAGAGGAGUCCUGCGGUGUGGGGAGGCCAAACAAGGCCGGGAGCUGCCGCUCCCACGUGGCAGGCUCGCCCUCUCCCCUCCGUCCACCAGCGAAACCGAGACAGUGGCCAGGAGCACGGGAGGGACAGAGAUCGCUCCUGCUUGCGGCCCACUGCCGGCAGGCGGGAGUAUACACGUGGGGCCGCGGGAGUCGUUCUCCACGGCCCUGGCGGUCAGACCAAGGAAUGCGGUCCAUAGAACUGCUCUCCGGUGACCGCGAGGGGAAAGGAAAGCACAAAGGAAAUGCAAAAUAAAAACAUAA